GGAUGUGAGGGCGAUCUUACUGCGACAUCUGUCACCCCAUUGAUCACCAGGGUUGAUUUGGUUGAUCUGGCUGGCUAGGCAGGUGUUCCCUUCCUCCCUCACCGCUCCAUGUGUGUCCCUCUCAAAGCUGGGCACUGGGUCAAAGAGGAUGACCUUCCCCAAUAGAGAAGAGGACCAUUCUUUGGUCAAGGGUACACGAGUAGCUGGGUCCCCAGGUACUAGAUACCCCAGGAGGUAGCUAGAACCUCCAAACAAGCUCUCAGGGUCCAUUUGUAGAAGAACAUAGGGUAGUCAAGGUUCCAGGACUCCAGACACAUUCAAAUGAGGCGCUGCGUGUAGCAGUCUGCCUUCAUAA
rnacentral:snRNA from 1 species